rnacentral:rRNA from 1 species
UUCCGGUUGAUCCUGCCGGAGGUCAUUGCUAUCGGAGUCCGAUUUAGCCAUGCUAGUCGCACGGGUUCAGCCCCGUGGCGAAUAGCUCCGUAACACGUGGCCAAUCUACCCUACAGACAGGCAUAACCUCGGGAAACUGAGGCUAAUUCCUGAUACCACUCCCACGCUGGAACGCCGGGAGUGAGAAACGUUCCGACGCUGUAGGAUGAGGCUGCGGCCGAUUAGGUAGGCGGUGGGGUAACGGCCCACCGUGCCAAUAAUCGGUACGGGUUGUGAGAGCAAGAACCCGGAGACGGAAUCUGAGACAAGAUUCCGGGCCCUACGGGGCGCAGCAGGCGCGAAACCUUUACACUGCACGACAGUGCGAUAGGGGGACUCCGAGUGCGGAGGCAUAGUGCCUUCGCUUUUGUACACCCUAAGGCGGUGUACGAAUAAGAGCUGGGCAAGACCGGUGCCAGCCGCCGCGGUAAUACCGGCAGCUCGAGUGAUGACCGAUCUUAUUGGGCCUAAAGCGUUCGUAGCCGGCCGAGCAAGUUCGUCGGGAAAUCUACCAGCUCAACUGGUAGGCGUCCGGCGAAAACUGCCCGGCUUGGGACAGGGAGACUCGAAGGGUACGUCCGGGGUAGGAGUGAAAUCCUGUAAUCCUGGACGGACCACCGAUGGCGAAAGCACUUCGAGAGAACUGAUCCGACGGUCAGGAACGAAAGCUGGGGUCUCGAACCGGAUUAGAUACCCGGGUAGUCCCAGCUGUAAACGAUGUUCGCUAGGUGCGACGCAGACUACGAGUCUGUGUUGUGCCGUAGGGAAGCCGAGAAGCGAACCGCCUGGGAAGUACGUCCGCAAGGAUGAAACUUAAAGGAAUUGGCGGGGGAGCACUACAACCGGAGGAGCCUGCGGUUUAAUUGGACUCAACGCCGGACAUCUCACCAGCCCCGACUGUUCGAAUGACGCUCAGUGUGAUGAGCUUAGCAGACGAUCAGAGAGGAGGUGCAUGGCCGCCGUCAGCUCGUACCGUGAGGCGUCCUGUUAAGUCAGGCAACGAGCGAGACCCGCAUCCCUAAUUGCCAGCAAGACCCAC